rnacentral:rRNA from 1 species
AGCAGCAGCCACGGGAAUACGUAGGUGGCAAGCGUCGUCCGGAAUUAUUGGGCGUAAAGGGCUCGCAGGCGGUUUCUUAAGUCUGAUGUGAAAGCCCCCGGCUCAACCGGGGAGGGUCAUUGGAAACUGGGAAACUUGAGUGCAGAAGAGGAGAGUGGAAUUCCACGUGUAGCGGUGAAAUGCGUAGAGAUGUGGAGGAACUCCAGUGGCGAAGGCGACUCUCUGGUCUGUAACUGACGCUGAGGAGCGAAAGCGUGGGGAGCGAACAGGAUUAGAUACCCCAGUAGUCCCUGUCUCUUAUAC